rnacentral:rRNA from 1 species
UACAGAGGGGGCAAGCGUUGUUCGGAAUUACUGGGCGUAAAGGGCGCGUAGGCGGCCUUCUAAGUCGAACGUGAAAUCCCCGGGCUCAACCCGGGAACUGCGUCCGAUACUGGGAGGCUGAAUCCGGGAGAGGGAUGUGGAAUUCCAGGUGUAGCGGUGAAAUGCGUAGAUAUCUGGAGGAACAUCGGUGGCGAAGGCGGCAUCCUGGACCGGUAUUGACGCUGAGACGCGAAAGCGUGGGGAGCAAACAGG